AGAAAAAUGAGUUUGAUGAUGGCUCUGAGUGAACGCUAUCCAAAUGCUUGACACAUGCUAAUCGAACGUCGAAUUUAAUAAAUAAUUUCUUAAACUAAAUUAUUUAUUUUAUAAGAAGUGGUGUACAGGUGAGUGACUAUUAUUAAACUACCUUUUAGUAAGGAAGAAAAAUCCCUUAUAGUUAUAUAUAAUAUUUUAUUAAACAUCCUGUUUUUUAAAUAAGAUGCAUAAUUUAUUAUAUAUUUUAAAGAUAAAUAUUCGCUAAAAGAUGUUAAUAAGUAAUCCGUAAGAGUAAUAAAAAUUAGCUCAGAUUGCGGCAGUCGUGACUGAAAGGUCGAUCGAUCACACUGGGUCUGAAAAAACCCCAGGGCAGAAUUGUACAGCAGUGGGGAAUAUUGGUCAAUAGUCAAAAGGCUGAACCAGCAACUUGGAAGAAUGUAGAGAGGUAAAUCUUCAUGUAGUUCUAGGUAAAAUACAGAGUAUGACGAUUUUUUAUCUAUAAGUCUUGACCAAAUUACGUGCCAGCAGUCGCGGUAAUACGUAGAAGACGAGUGUUAUUCAUGUUUAAUCGGUUUAAAGGGUACCUAGACAGAAAACCAAGCCAAAAUAGGUACUAGUUUUCUAGAGUUUUAUGUGUGAAUAGCGAAUUAUCAGAGCAGGGUCGGAAUCCUCUAAUCCUGGUAGGACGGGUAACGGCAAAUGUUCUAUUCUAUGUAUUAACUGACGUUGAGGGACGAAGCCUUGGGUAGCGAUUAGGAUUCGAAACCCUAGUAGUCCAAGGAGACAAUGAUGAGUGCCAUAAGUUAGAGUUUUUUAGCUUAUAAAUGAAAGUGUAAGCAUUCCACCUUAAGACUAAAGCGGCAACGCCCAAAUUGAAAUCAUUAGACCGUUUCUGAAACCAGUAGUGAAGUAUGUUAUUUAAUUCGAUGAUCCGCGAAUAACCUUACCACGUUUUGAAUACUAAUGUAAAUUAAUACAAGUGCUGCACGGCUGUCUUCAGUUAAUGUCGUGAGAUUUUGGUUAAUUCCUUUAAUUAACGAAAGCCCUUACUUUAGUUAUAUUUAUUUCUAAAGUUGUUAACCGGUAUAUUGGAUAUCAUAAAAGGGACUAAGACAAGUCAUCAUGGCCUUAAUAACGUGGGCUAUAGACGUGCCACAUAUACCUAUACAAAGGGAUGCAAUAUUGAAAAAUGGAGCUAAUCCCAAAAAAUUGGAUAUAACUAUUCGUGAAUUGUAGUCUGAAACUCGACUACAUGAAUAUGGAAUUACUAGUAAUCGUGUAUCACCACGUCACGGUGAAUUUAAUCUCAGUUGGGUACUAACUACUCGUCAGGCGCUGAAAGAUGUAUGCGCAAUAAGUUUGAUUGCAUAUCUUUU
rnacentral:rRNA from 1 species